rnacentral:rRNA from 1 species
AGAGUUUGAUCCUGGCUCAGGACGAACGCUGGCGGCGUGCCUAACACAUGCAAGUCGAACGGAGAAUUUUAUUUCGGUAGAAUUCUUAGUGGCGAACGGGUGAGUAACGCGUAGGCAACCUGCCCUUUAGACGGGGACAACAUUCCGAAAGGAGUGCUAAUACCGGAUGUGAUCAUUGUGCCGCAUGGCAGGAUGAAGAAAGAUGGCCUCUACAAGUAAGCUAUCGCUAAAGGAUGGGCCUGCGUCUGAUUAGCUAGUUGGUAGUGUAACGGACUACCAAGGCGAUGAUCAGUAGCCGGUCUGAGAGGAUGAACGGCCACAUUGGGACUGAGACACGGCCCAAACUCCUACGGGAGGCAGCAGUGGGGAAUCUUCCGCAAUGGACGAAAGUCUGACGGAGCAACGCCGCGUGAGUGAUGAAGGAUUUCGGUCUGUAAAGCUCUGUUGUUUAUGACGAACGUGCAGUGUGUGAACAAUGCAUUGCAAUGACGGUAGUAAACGAGGAAGCCACGGCUAACUACGUGCCAGCAGCCGCGGUAAUACGUAGGUGGCGAGCGUUGUCCGGAAUUAUUGGGCGUAAAGAGCAUGUAGGCGGCUUAAUAAGUCGAGCGUGAAAAUGCGGGGCUCAACCCCGUAUGGCGCUGGAAACUGUUAGGCUUGAGUGCAGGAGAGGAAAGGGGAAUUCCCAGUGUAGCGGUGAAAUGCGUAGAUAUUGGGAGGAACACCAGUGGCGAAGGCGCCUUUCUGGACUGUGUCUGACGCUGAGAUGCGAAAGCCAGGGUAGCGAACGGGAUUAGAUACCCCGGUAGUCCUGGCCGUAAACGAUGGGUACUAGGUGUAGGAGGUAUCGACCCCUUCUGUGCCGGAGUUAACGCAAUAAGUACCCCGCCUGGGGAGUACGGCCGCAAGGUUGAAACUCAAAGGAAUUGACGGGGGCCCGCACAAGCAGUGGAGUAUGUGGUUUAAUUCGACGCAACGCGAAGAACCUUACCAAGUCUUGACAUCCCUUGACGAACAUAGAAAUAUGUUUUCUCUUCGGAGCAAGGAGACAGGUGGUGCAUGGUUGUCGUCAGCUCGUGUCGUGAGAUGUUGGGUUAAG